rnacentral:piRNA from 1 species
UGCAGCGACAUUCCAGUUUCUCCACCCGCUC